AUCAGUUUUAUCUAUAAAAUAUUAGUCUUUAAUAUAUCUGUUCCGUAUUUAGACCUAUUAGGCAGGUGUGUCAGUAACCAAAAAUGAGUGUGGUAUUGGUAACCAUCAUAGAAUGAUUUCCUGCAGUGCAAGAAUUAAACCAAGCGUUUAAAGAUAUAAUAUGAAUUAAAAUGUAUGACCGUGGUUAGGAAAGACCAGAGCCAGGCUCUGGGAAAGACUGAGCUUCCAGGUAAUAUAAUAUGUUUUUAUUCAAAGGGCAGCAAUAUGCGAGGCUCAUUUUGAUAAAAGUGACAUAGACAGAUCCAAGAAAGUUACAAAAUUAAGAGUUGGAGCUUUACCUUGUUAUAACUGACCUAAGGAAAGCUGAUAUUAUAAGCCACCCAGAAAAUUGCCAGCAAAAAGAGUAUUUCUUGAAAAGAUGCACCAUACCAGCCUUAAAGAUUUGGAAACGUCUGCCAAAAAAUUGUCUGAUGUUAUGAAAGGUUAGUUGUUAAUGCUCCUCUGUGGCAAAAAAUAAUAAAAAAUAAAGUAAUUUAUGCCACAAUCAUUUAAUAUUAUAUCUGAACAUCCGCUACCACUAUAAACUUUGUUUUGUGUUUCAGAGUGAUAUUCUCCUGUUCAACCAAAGUUGAAGUUUGCUGUUUAAAUAUUUUAUGGGUGGCCAGUAGAUGUUGCCAAAUUACAACUUGAUGUAACAUCACAGACCUUGUUUUAACCUUUUAUGUUAUAUAGAGAGAGCCUCCAGAUCUACAUUGGAUUACAUAACACACAAAUACCAGAAUGUGCAACCAACAACCAUUCAGUUCUAUUUUGGAAAGAUGGCCAUGUCAUAGAAUUACACGAUCCGCUCACUUAAUUGUGCAUUAUUUUGUGAUGAUAUUGGUUUUACCACCUGCAGUGAAUGCACUAAUAAAUCUUCAGCACCAACCGCGACCGCAUGCCCAGGAACUAGUACACAAGAUACAAAUGUAUUUCAAAUCAAUGAGGUACCAUUCUUGAAUAUACAACAAAUAUCUGAACAAUAAACGUUCUUUUUAUAUUUUUGAACACUUAUGAAGUCUUUAUAAUUAAAGCCCAUUCAACAGACUGCAUUAGUUCGUGAAACCCAGCCAGAUAUGACUGACAGUACAGUUCCAGAAGAAGUUGAUCUACCAACUUUUAAGACAAUUUUCGCAACAAAUGAAAAUGAUCUUAAUGAGUGGCAAAGAAUGUUUUUAGAUCAGCAAAGAAAAAAUGCAGCAGUUACACCAACAGGCCAUCGUUUUCACCCUGACUUGGUACGUUGGGCUAUUGAGCUAUUUACAAAAUCUCCAGCUGCAUAUCUACACUUACAGAAAAGCGGAGUUUUAUCAUUACCUUCACGCGGUACGAUUUCAGCUUACAGGAAUAUUAUAUCACCAUCACCUGGGUUGAACAAGAAAGCUCUUGAAGAAAUGGAUAGAGUAACGAAGCAAACUUCGCACCUUGCAGCAUAUAUCACUAUGGAUGAGAUGAAAAUCAAAGAAAAUUUAGUCAUUCGUAAUGGGAAGCUUGUUGGUUUUAUUGACUUUGGGGAUCAGCUGGUAAGCUGGUAAAUAGUGCAUCAACUCUAGCAAGUCAUAUUUUAGUAUUCUACUUUCGUUCAGCCAAAAGUGAAAUUUCCAUACCUCUAGCAUGGUAUCCAACCAAGUCAGCAGAAGCUCAUGUGCUUGCAGUUAUGUUCUGGAAUUUACUAUGGGAAUGCGAGUCCAGAAAUGUGCAGAUUCAUGCUGUGGUCUGUGAUGGUCAUCCAUCAAAUAGAAAGUUUUAUAAACUAAUAUGCUCUUCACCAUUCAACAUUAAUGAGCCGUAUUUAGCAAAUAAUCUGUAUGAUGCAAAAAAACCAAUACUGUUAUGCUCAGUUCCUUCAUUUACUAAAGACUGCUUGUAACUCUUUGUACUCUUCCAAACCUGGUGGUAGCAAGUACAUGAACAAAAAUGGAAAAGAUAUUCUAUGGACACAUAUACAGCAACUGUUCAAACAGGAUACUGCAUCCAUGUUGUUAAAACGAUGCCGUGUGCCCACAUGGGAACUGAACUCUUACACAAAGAUGAAAGUCAGUCUGGCAAGAGAAGUAUUACGCUGGAAUGUAGGACAAUGUUUGAAAUCUUUUUCUCUUGCUGAUGGAACUGCUGAGUUUGUAUUGUUAUUUGCAAGGUGGCUGACAGUGUGAAACAUUUAAUCAAAAAAAUCUCUUACAAUUUCUGCAUCUUAAACAGGUGGUUUGAAAUAAUGAAUUGUGGGCAUCACAAUUUUAUUACAUCAACAAGUGAUUCACGGCUAACUUGGUUGGAAGAUGUUUUUCUUGUUUACCUGAUUCAAUGGAAGGUUCUAAACACCUACGACCCCGGGGAUGUGUUAUAGCAUUCAGAAACCUCAUCACAUGGCCACUGACUCAAUUUACCGACAGGGACAUAUGAACUGUUUCCACUAAUAAUAAAAAAUAACUAUUUUGUUUUCUCCUCAGUUUACGUUCCAGAUGACGAUGGAAAUGCUCCUUAUCCUCAGCUGGUGCAACACCUGAUCACCCAUAGUUCACUGAACAACAUCAUUGUCAAUAUUGACAAGGAUGCGUACUCUCAUCAAACUUUCUGGGGAAGUAUGAGAUCCUGACAGUGCGUAAUGUAGGAACAUUGCAUGUUAAUUCUCAAUACUGCACCAAUAUUUCGCAAUAUUGCAUCAUGUCAUGUACUCGUGACAAACUAUCCAUCAUUUUAACAAG